rnacentral:lncRNA from 1 species
UUUGCAUUCUGCUAAUAGCUUGGACCGCCUCUGUUUGAGGUUUUGUAUAGCUGACCACAAUGAAAAAGCUACAUAUUUUAAGUCUUGCACCAAGUGAAGCACCUCAUUUGCCUAUUUCUUAAUUGCAGCCUUGCAGGUACAAGUGCGCUUGUUCUCUCUUUUCCUUAAGCUAAAUCCUUUGAACAAUAAGGGACAUGCCUGGAGAACACAUCUAUGAUGGUCGUGAGUCUCGUGACAUCACCUCCACUUGAUUAAUCAUCCAACUAAACUUCAAACCCAUAUUUAGACUGGAAUUUGACCAGAGCAAACAAUAUCAGUUCUGAAACUUGUAUUUCACUUCCGGCCAUCAUUAAUAGCCUAGUAAUAUUGUGGCUGGGAUUUAUCUGACUAGUAAUCUAAUAUUCUAGUCUUCUAGACGACACAAGCAAAGGUUUUAUGGUGUAGUUGGAACUGGGGGAAGCCAUUUUGUGUUUUCUUUUAAAAUUAGCUAGCUUCAACAUUAUGUUUAAAGAUAAUCCAAUGGUUUAAAAAUCCCGUCAAAAUCACCCAUCUAA